rnacentral:rRNA from 1 species
AGCAGCCGCGGUAAUUCCAGCUCCAAUAGCGUAUAUUAAAGUUGUUGCAGUUAAAAAGCUCGUAGUUGAAUUUCGGGGUUCUACCGUUGGUCGGGCUUUGUCUGUACUGGCGUGUAGAAUUUCUACCUUCUGGGGGAACUAUCAUGUUAUUAAUUUAGCGUGGUAGGAAACCAGGACCUUUACCUUGAAAAAAUUAGAGUGUUCAAAGCAGGCUUAUGUCUGAAUACAUUAGCAUGGAAUAAUAAAAUAGGACGGUGGUCCUGUUUUGUUGGUUUCUGAAUCACCGUAAUGAUUAAGUAGGGAUAGGUUGGGGGCAGUUAGUAUUCAAUUGUCAGAGGUGAAAUUCGUUGGAUUUAUUGAAAGACUUAACUACUGCGAGAAGCAUUUGCCAAGGAUGUUUU